GUCCCCUUAUUAAACAUCCCACGCGUAGCUCACCUCAUACAUCCUAUUCACCAAAUCGUAAACCCUAGGAUUUCAUCCAGUAAACUCUUGAGAUUCAAUCCGCAAAUCCGAACACAAGAGGCUAGAAGUAGUUGAAUUCAUCGCCAACACUCUCAAAUCAGCUUGAGCGUAGGAAUGACUGUCGAAGCUUGACUGAAGAACUAAAGAAAGUGAAUAAUGAAUAUACCAAGAAAGAGAAUGUAAGUGACUGUAACUAUAACAUUGUUUAGACAUUGUGCCUUGGUCUUGGAUAUUUUUCCUAUUCUAAGUUUAGCGAUACACUAGAAGAAAUUUUUAGAAAUAUUUUACGUGUAUGUUUUAUCAAUAUUCCUGUAAAUAUGGAAUCAAUAUUCAGAUUUAUUCAUUCAAAUUCAAUAGUAUUCUUUGUUAUAUUUUGUUGUUAGGCUAACAGCAGGAGAUGCCACUUUCAACUAUAAAUACUAUGAUACUAUGUUGCACAAGAGACAAGAUACCUCUUGUCUGCUGAAUAUAAUAUCUUACUAGAUUUUUCGGAAUCCUUUUGGCAGAAUUUUAUUUGUUAAACCUGCAAUUUCAGGUGUCAAUGUGAAAAAGUUUGUUGAUUGAUGAUGGAUGAGUAUUGUCUUCUAGAGAAUACUCAUGAAGUGGUUCAGAUUGAAACAAUUAAGCAUAUCGGUUUGGGCUUUGGGGUCUUAUCCUCCUUAGAAUACUCCUGCUGAAAUUGUUGCUUAUAGAUAAUGGGUAAGUUGGGUUCUUAUUUCAGUUUGGUUUUGACGAUUUACUAACUCUUGUUUGUUGUUAUUUGGGCAUUAGUAAACCCUGUAGACUAGCGGUAUCGAGGUGUGUAGUGAAUGUGUUCUUUCCCAAGUGGUUGAGGGUUAUACUAAAUUUAAUGAAGCUGUUGUAGAGAAGGUUGAAUCAUUAGUGCAAGAUGCUAUCUCACAGGUUUGAUUAUCAUUUUCAAAAUCUUGUAGAAUUUUGAUAGUUGGUAUUUUUUUAGUUACAAAAUUUCUGUUGAUACAAGGAGCAAAAGUUGUUGUGGGUGGUAAGAGGCAUAACCUAUGGUUGACUUUUUAUGGGCCUACAAUUAUUAGUGAUGUCAAGAAUGAGAUGCUCAUAGCAAGGUAAUCUCAAAACAAUUAUAUGGAAGGUAUUACUAUUAUUUAGGUGGCUAUAAUAUUAUGUUGUAGGUAAGUUGAUGUGUAUUUGACUAGCACCAAUAUAUACUAUUACAUACGGGAAAUAUUUGGACAUGUUACACCUGUUAUACGAUUUAAAACAGAAGAAGGCUAUACAGAUUGCUAAUGACACUGAUUCAGGUUUUUAUUAUUUUAUAUAUGAUCCAUAUAUUGGUGUCUGAUCAUUUGCAUCUUUUUAUUAACUAGGUAAGAUUAAGACAACUUUUUUUUAUAUAAACUGUGCAGGAUUAGCGGCUUACUUGUUCACAAACAAUAUUCAGCGUAGCGUUUAUGGCGCGUGUCUGAAGCUCUUGAAUAUGGUCUUGUUGGAAUAAAUAAUCAUGUGUCUUUUUCACAGGUAGCACCCUUUGGAGGUGUUAAGCAGUCUGGUUUAGGUCGGGAAGGUUCUAAAUACGGAUUAGAUGAGUAUCUUGAGAUCAAGUGCAUUUGUAUGGGAAAUAUGGAUCACCCUUAUACAAACACACACUUUUAGUUUGGAUGUUUGGAUUUGGAUAAUUUAAUUUGAGUUAUAUGAUGCUUUGAUUUGGAUGUUUAUUAUGCUGACCAUUGGAUGUAUAAAUUUUUACAUUUUAAUGGAAUGACAACAGCUUAUAAAUUGUUAUGUUUUUAUGAAAUGGAAUAACCGAAUGCAAAUGGAAUACCAUAAAUGGUAGCAAAACGGUGGUAAAAUGUGAUAAAGCGGUAGCAAAAAGGUGACAAAAUAGCGGUAGCAAAAUGGUGACAAAACAAAAUGUGGUAGCAAAACGGUGACAAAAAGCGGUAGCAAAAAGGUGACAAAAUAGCGGUAGCAAACGGUGACAAACAAAAUGUGGUAGCAAAACGGUGACAAAAAGCGGUGGCAAAUCAAUGGUAGCAAAAAAUAAAACCGUAGCAAAUAGGUGGCAAUAGGGCAUUUGCUAAGUUGCUUUUGUCACCGAGUUUUUAGUAGCAAAACAAUGGCAAAAGAGCAAUUGCUACCGUUUUGCGACCGAAAAUGUGGUAGCAAAUACCUUAUUCUAGUAGUGGUGAUAAUAAUGUAGCUAAACAAAAA